GGCUGGUCCGAAGGCAGUGAGUUAUCUCAGGUGACUGUUCACAGUCAGUCACAGAUUGAACUCCUUGUUCUACACUCCCCCCUCUCACUACUGCACUUGACUAGUCUUUU
rnacentral:Y_RNA from 1 species